GGAGAAUGUGCCAUCUCAGAAGAGUUCUGCUCUACCAUUUCAUAAUUGGGACGAUUUCCUGUAAUUACUUCCAUUGGUUUAAGUUGUUCUCUACAGAUUCAAAUUACUGACUCAACUCUUCGUUGUAUCUGAGCUGAAUAUUUCCCUGUCAACUUGAUACCAGCUUGGCUUACCUGGGAAGAGGAGGAGGAAGAGGAAGAGGAAGAAGAGGAGGAAGAGGAGGAGGAAACAAACAAACACAUCAAUGAAAAUCAAAUAUUACAGAUUUGCUAUAAACAAAAGCUUAUUUAGAGAUAAGCUCAGAAAUUUGCAUGGUCAUGAAAAUCACUCAAUCGUUGCAGUCAUUCUGCUCUUGGCAGUUGACAGAUGCUUGGAGAGAAGAGUAAAUUUUCCUUGAAGGGAAAGCCCUUCAUAAAUUGGACAUACUCCAGAGGAAGGCCAUACAUCCAACCAUAUGUGAGCAGCAUCAACAGCAUUGAAGCUUUAAAAAGAAAAAAGGACAUGUGGAAUUGAAAACUGGUACAAUCACUUUGGAAAUUAAUCUAGAAGUUCAUCAGAAAAUUGGAAAUAAAUCUACGUGAAGACCCAGCUUUACUACUCUUGGGCCUAUUCCCAAAAGAUGCCCCAAUAUACGACAGGGGCAUGUGCUCCACUCUGUUCAUAAUGGCCUUAUCUGUGAUAGCCAGAAGCUGGAAACAAUCCAGAUUUUCCACAAUGAAAGAAUGGAUACAGAAAAUUUGGUUCAU